GGGCUUAUAGCUCAGUUGGGCAGAGCGCACGCCUGAUAAGCGUGAGGGCGGUGGUUCAAAUCCACCUAAGCCCACCA
rnacentral:tRNA from 1 species